rnacentral:misc_RNA from 1 species
GAUGAAGAACGUAGCGAAAUGCGAUAAGUAAUGUGAAUUGCAGAAUUCAGUGAAUCAUCGAAUCUUUGAACGCACCUUGCACUCCUUGGUAUUCCGAGGAGUACGCCUGUUCGAGUGUUAUGAAGCUCUCAAAACGCAAUUGGCUUAAAACCUGAUUGUUGUUUUGGAUUUGAACUUUGCCGUGUUAUAACGGCUGGUUUUAAAAGUAUUAGCUGGUACUAGAACGAAUUGGUUCUACUCAACGUGAUAAUUAUCUGAUCGUUGAGGACAUUCCUUUCACGAGGAAUGGCCAUAGUAAAUUCAAUGGACUGCUUCUAAUCUGGCUUUAAUUCUUUAUUGGAUUAACCACUUUUCAAAUCUGACCUCGAAUCAGGUGGUACUACCCGCUGAACUUAAGCAUAUCAAUAAGCGGAGGA